GCUGUAGCUCAGUGAGUAGAGCAUCUGCCUUGCAUGAAGAAGUUCCCAGGUUCAAUCCCUGGCAUCACCA